rnacentral:rRNA from 1 species
GGGUUGUGAGGUUAAGCGACUAAGCGUACACGGUGGAUGCCCUGGCAGUCAGAGGCGAUGAAGGACGUGCUAAUCUGCGAUAAGCGUCGGUAAGGUGAUAUGAACCGUUAUAACCGGCGAUUUCCGAAUGGGGAAACCCAGUGUGAUUCGUCACACUAUCAUUAACUGAAUCCAUAGGUUAAUGAGGCGAACCGGGGGAACUGAAACAUCUAAGUACCCCGAGGAAAAGAAAUCAACCGAGAUUCCCCCAGUAGCGGCGAGCGAACGGGGAGCAGCCCAGAGCCUGAAUCAGUGUGUGUGUUAGUGGAAGCGUCUGGAAAGGCGCGCGAUACAGGGUGACAGCCCCGUACACAAAAAUGCACAUGCUGUGAGCUCGAUGAGUAGGGCGGGACACGUGGUAUCCUGUCUGAAUAUGGGGGGACCAUCCUCCAAGGCUAAAUACUCCUGACUGACCGAUAGUGAACCAGUACCGUGAGGGAAAGGCGAAAAGAACCCCGGCGAGGGGAGUGAAAAAGAACCUGAAACCGUGUACGUACAAGCAGUGGGAGCACAGAGCAAUCUGUGUGACUGCGUACCUUUUGUAUAAUGGGUCAGCGACUUAUAUUCUGUAGCAAGGUUAACCGAAUAGGGGAGCCGAAGGGAAACCGAGUCUUAACUGGGCGUUAAGUUGCAGGGUAUAGACCCGAAACCCGGUGAUCUAGCCAUGGGCAGGUUGAAGGUUGGGUAACACUAACUGGAGGACCGAACCGACUAAUGUUGAAAAAUUAGCGGAUGACUUGUGGCUGGGGGUGAAAGGCCAAUCAAACCGGGAGAUAGCUGGUUCUCCCCGAAAGCUAUUUAGGUAGCGCCUCGUGAAUUCAUCUCCGGGGGUAGAGCACUGUUUCGGCAAGGGGGUCAUCCCGACUUACCAACCCGAUGCAAACUGCGAAUACCGGAGAAUGUUAUCACGGGAGACACACGGCGGGUGCUAACGUCCGUCGUGAAGAGGGAAACAACCCAGACCGCCAGCUAAGGUCCCAAAGUCAUGGUUAAGUGGGAAACGAUGUGGGAAGGCCCAGACAGCCAGGAUGUUGGCUUAGAAGCAGCCAUCAUUUAAAGAAAGCGUAAUAGCUCACUGGUCGAGUCGGCCUGCGCGGAAGAUGUAACGGGGCUAAACCAUGCACCGAAGCUGCGGCAGCGACGCUUAUGCGUUGUUGGGUAGGGGAGCGUUCUGUAAGCCUGUGAAGGUGUACUGUGAGGUAUGCUGGAGGUAUCAGAAGUGCGAAUGCUGACAUAAGUAACGAUAAAGCGGGUGAAAAGCCCGCUCGCCGGAAGACCAAGGGUUCCUGUCCAACGUUAAUCGGGGCAGGGUGAGUCGACCCCUAAGGCGAGGCCGAAAGGCGUAGUCGAUGGGAAACAGGUUAAUAUUCCUGUACUUGGUGUUACUGCGAAGGGGGGACGGAGAAGGCUAUGUUGGCCGGGCGACGGUUGUCCCGGUUUAAGCGUGUAGGCUGGUUUUCCAGGCAAAUCCGGAAAAUCAAGGCUGAGGCGUGAUGACGAGGCACUACGGUGCUGAAGCAACAAAUGCCCUGCUUCCAGGAAAAGCCUCUAAGCAUCAGGUAACAUCAAAUCGUACCCCAAACCGACACAGGUGGUCAGGUAGAGAAUACCAAGGCGCUUGAGAGAACUCGGGUGAAGGAACUAGGCAAAAUGGUGCCGUAACUUCGGGAGAAGGCACGCUGAUAUGUAGGUGAAGUCCCUCGCGGAUGGAGCUGAAAUCAGUCGAAGAUACCAGCUGGCUGCAACUGUUUAUUAAAAACACAGCACUGUGCAAACACGAAAGUGGACGUAUACGGUGUGACGCCUGCCCGGUGCCGGAAGGUUAAUUGAUGGGGUCAGCGCAAGCGAAGCUCUUGAUCGAAGCCCCGGUAAACGGCGGCCGUAACUAUAACGGUCCUAAGGUAGCGAAAUUCCUUGUCGGGUAAGUUCCGACCUGCACGAAUGGCGUAAUGAUGGCCAGGCUGUCUCCACCCGAGACUCAGUGAAAUUGAACUCGCUGUGAAGAUGCAGUGUACCCGCGGCAAGACGGAAAGACCCCGUGAACCUUUACUAUAGCUUGACACUGAACAUUGAGCCUUGAUGUGUAGGAUAGGUGGGAGGCUUUGAAGUGUGGACGCCAGUCUGCAUGGAGCCGACCUUGAAAUACCACCCUUUAAUGUUUGAUGUUCUAACGUGGACCCGUAAUCCGGGUUGCGGACAGUGUCUGGUGGGUAGUUUGACUGGGGCGGUCUCCUCCUAAAGAGUAACGGAGGAGCACGAAGGUUGGCUAAUCCUGGUCGGACAUCAGGAGGUUAGUGCAAUGGCAUAAGCCAGCUUGACUGCGAGCGUGACGGCGCGAGCAGGUGCGAAAGCAGGUCAUAGUGAUCCGGUGGUUCUGAAUGGAAGGGCCAUCGCUCAACGGAUAAAAGGUACUCCGGGGAUAACAGGCUGAUACCGCCCAAGAGUUCAUAUCGACGGCGGUGUUUGGCACCUCGAUGUCGGCUCAUCACAUCCUGGGGCUGAAGUAGGUCCCAAGGGUAUGGCUGUUCGCCAUUUAAAGUGGUACGCGAGCUGGGUUUAGAACGUCGUGAGACAGUUCGGUCCCUAUCUGCCGUGGGCGCUGGAGAACUGAGGGGGGCUGCUCCUAGUACGAGAGGACCGGAGUGGACGCAUCACUGGUGUUCGGGUUGUCAUGCCAAUGGCACUGCCCGGUAGCUAAAUGCGGAAGAGAUAAGUGCUGAAAGCAUCUAAGCACGAAACUUGCCCCGAGAUGAGUUCUCCCUGACUCCUUGAGAGUCCUGAAGGAACGUUGAAGACGACGACGUUGAUAGGCCGGGUGUGUAAGCGCAGCGAUGCGUUGAGCUAACCGGUACUAAUGAACCGUGAGGCUUAACCUUACAACGCCGAAGGUGUUU